UCAACGCCGGUCUGUGGUUGCGGACAACAAUUGUCCUAGCUCAAGGCAGAACGGGUCGAAGGAGUCCACAUAAGUCAGUGGUGGUGGGAGCCCCUGUUGGGGGCGCUAUACCACAGCCGUUGAUGAGCAUGGCCGUUCUUAGGUGUAAGCCCUGCCGGUUGUCUUGAUAGACAAAAUUUUACCGAGACUUGUAAUAGCCAAAAGCAGGCAGCAGGCGAGUGUGGGGUCAAAAACCAGGUCAGCGGCGUUGA
rnacentral:ncRNA from 1 species